rnacentral:rRNA from 1 species
UGGGGGAUAUUGCACAAUGGGCGAAAGCCUGAUGCAGCGACGCCGCGUGGGGGAUGAAGGCCUUCGGGUUGUAAACUUCUUUUGCUCUGAACAAGGCGCACCAUGGGGUGUGUUGAGUGUAGGGGUUGAUUAGCGCCGGCUAACUACGUGCCAGCAGCCGCGGUAAUACGUAGGGCGCGAGCGUUGUCCGGAAUUAUUGGGCGUAAAGGGCUUGUAGGUGGCUGGUUGCGUCUGUCGUGAAAGCUCAUGGCUUAACUGUGGGUUGGCGGUGGGUACGGGCUGGCUUGAGUGCAGGAGGGGAGGCUGGAAUUCCUGGUGUAGCGGUGGAAUGCGCAGAUAUCAGGAGGAAUACCGGUGGCGAAGGCGGGUCUCUGGGCUGUUACUGACACUGAGGAGCGAAAGCAUGGGGAGCGAACAGG